GGAGCUUGUAAUGUUUCUGGGGCCUUCUCUGUGGUGUUUGCAUACAAAGGAGACAUAAACACAAGCCCUGCUAGGAGGGGUUUGCGAGGGACUUUAAGACAUAGAGUUUUAUAUAUUAUGCAGUACUGCAUGCAGAGUCCUGCACAAAUGCACAGGGACCCAUUGAAUCUCAGCAUGUCGGGAGCACAAAAAAGUCCGCUCUGAAGAUUAUUUGUCAGUCCCUAAAUCCCUCAAGGGCUAUCCUCCUCAAUGCGAACACACACAUACAUCUUAACUCCUGGUCAUUAACCAAAAAGGCCCAGUGACUUUUCCCUUUCGGGAAUGUGACUGUGGUAUCAAGAACUUAAUAGCCUUAUGAUUUUAAUCAUAUACAGAGAACUUACCUGAUAAGUCGCCGUACUUACGGAUGUGUUCAUGAGUGGGGACCAGGAUGCUUAUGAGCAUUUUCUACUUUCUGUUUCAUGUGGAAGGAUCACUAGGAGAACUGGCAGAAGAGGCUGAGAGAGGAGCUUCACCCAUACACUUGACACAUGUAGCUAUAGAUGCACACAUACUGAAUAAUACCCAAAUACUGAAUGAUAGCUUACAAUGACACAGUUAUCAUUAAUCGUGUUAUUAAUUAAUAAUAACUAAUUGUUAUUGAGUUAUUAAUAACAAUCGGAAAAUAAUAAUUUUGACAAUGGAAAUGUUCACAGGCUUAUAUUUGGCUGCCUAGUCCGAUUAUGUAUUAUCUAUGAAUUGGGCAAGUCACGUGGCGAUCUGUGUCGCCAACUGCUUAGCUGAAAGGUGGGGUAAUAAUGACAGCCCCUUCUUAGGUGGUCGUGAAAAGUAAAGUUUAUAAACCCAAAGUGCUUUAGAUACAUAGUGUUAAUGAUCUCCUUCAGAUUUUUGGAAGAAAAAAGUUUAUUUGGUUCUUCUUAUUGUAGAUUAGGCAGUCUGAAACUUUUCAGAUCUCUUCCAGAUACUGUUGGGCAAACUUAAUCAAAUGUAUGAGAACAAAACGCAACAAGUCUUAGAGGGGAAGGUUCUUGGUACCCUUGUUCUUAGGGUUCAGGGGCUCCCUGCAUUGCAUCCUUAACCUCAAAGGAUUAUUUCACUGGCCUUGCUCUCCUCUGGGCACUGACCUGUGCCAGAGGGGAGGGCGCCAUGCAAGCACCCAGCUGGGAACUACUUAAACCACUGACCCCAUCUCCCCACAAUUUCCAGAGAUUUCCGCUUGCCCCGGGCUUCUCUUUAGUGCCCCGGGGUGAGGUCAGGUCUGAGCUUGUGGCCCUGGGCCUCUGCCCAUGUCAGCUGGGCUUUAGGGGAACAAGAGCGACACAAAAUAAAGAAAGACCAUUCCAAAGGAGAAUGGCCUUCUAUCGUGGGGAGUCAUGCUGGGGAUAUUUCUCCUUGGUGAACUUGUAGAUUCUUCCUCUCUGUGUGAAGACAUGGAACUCACCAAGCCUUCUCCCAGGUGCCAACACUUACUUACACGUGUGGGCCACCCUUAGCUUCCUUCGUGCCCUCUCUGCUGUGUGGUAGCCAGGUCUGACUGCAUCCUUAGCUCAUCAUGUUCUUACGUUAAGUUCUACCUGAUCACUGCCUCUGGGAUCUCUGUAUUAAUUCUGUAAGUUGUUUGCUUAUUCAUUUUAUGUUUGUCUUCAAUGUCAGCAAACUUUAGUGAAACAAACACCACCACAUUUGUGAUACAGGAUAUCUUUCCAUUCUGUAAAGUAUAGUUUAUUUUUAAGGCAUUCAUUCUCAGUGAGAUGACAACCAUGAAAGAGUUGCCGUCAGCCCGUGCGUGCUCCCUGAGUUCAUUCGCCAUCUGUGUUGAAUUGAGGUUAAGAGUGUAGCCCAGUAUGCAGCCUGCGUGUCUCAUCGCUCGCUCUACCACUCACUGCCCCUCUUUACGCCUUGUGGUCCUCACCUGUGGAUCCAUAUAAAAUGUUAGUGCCCCUUAACUCCAGAAGACCUGGUGGGGAGAGCCUUGUACCCAGACUGCACCCCUAUGAGAUGUACUGUCCGUGGGGAGUCAUUAGACCACUCGUCUGCCUGUUUCUCUGCCACAGUACCACCUAACCUGCUACUGAUAGCAUCAGGAUUAUACUUACAUGUGUUUGGAUGCUCAUACCCAUGACCCAUGUGCAUGUACACAGUGGUGCCAGAGGAAGAUGCCAGGUGUCCUACUAUAUCACCCUUUGCCUUAUUCUCUUGAGACAGCAUUCCUCAUUGAACCCAGAAUUCACCAUUUUCUGCUAGGGUUGCCGGCAGGCUAGCAAGCCACAGUCCUUGUAUUGAUUUCCUUCUCCCUACCCUGAGACACAGAAUCCCAGGCUUAUGCCUGGCUGUGCCUGGUGGGAUGUGCACCCAGUUUCUCAUGUUUGCACAUCAAGCACUCUUGCCUGCAAAGACAUCACCCAGCCCCAUCAUUUUACUUCUUAUCCAAGUGUUUAGCUUUAUCAUUUUCUGGACAUGUAUUUAGGUAUUUCCUACUUUCAAACACACAUAAAAUGUAAUCAUAAGGUAGUUUGUGGGUGUAUCCACGGGAACAGAUAAAAUAAUGUGGCCAUGCAGAUUGGCAGACAAAGCUCAGCCCUCUGGUAAAGAGUAAGCUGCCCUUGAUAAUGCUAGGCAAUAGAUGUUUGUCUGAUGAGCUUUUGAUGGAUAUCUAUCCUGAUGGCCUCAGCAAUUAAGGUAUGGAAUUUGGUGGCAUAUGGUGGCUUCUUGCCACAGUAGACUCCAGAAGAUCAAACUACAACAUUGCCAAUUACAUAUGGCAGAGGGUGUAUAUCUUUGAAUUAGUUAUGGAACCCCAGAGUGCUUGUAAUGUGUGGGGCAGUUAUGUGCAACUGAGACUUUCUGUUGGUUUUCCAUAUAAAUUGGUCUUCUUUCUGUAAGUAUGCCACUUCUAACUGGCAAUGACUGGUGCAGAUCUUAUUUUCCGUUUCUGGUUCAUAAUAAGGGAUCAUCUAUCACCUGCAAGAGGCUCACAGCGAUGAUUGAGUAUGGGAAUGUGUGAGUUUGGGUCACUUCCUCUGAGCACGUACUCUUGAAUCCACAUUAGAAAGCUACAGGGCAAGAAUCUGUGAGCUUAGAUUACCCGAGGAUAAAGUGUCAAGAAGAAAACAGACACUGGUGGACAGUAUAAUCUGAAGAGCUGAUGUGAGGCAUCCUCUGUCCAGACGGUGGUCCCCUUUCCUGUGCUAAUUGCACUGAGCUAUUGCUAUCAGUGACAGGAAAGAAGGGAAAUGACAAAGUGUGGAGAUCCUGGCUCAGCUGUGAGACGAAGACCAUGAGGAGAGUGCCAAACUGCACAGAGCCUGAGUGUCUGACUGCCCAGAGCAUGAGUGUCUGACUGCCCAGAGAAUGAGUGCCUGACUGCCCAGAGCAUGAGUGUCUGACUGCACGUAGGCUGUGUCUGACUGUACAUUGUCUGACUGCACAGUGUCUAACUGCAUGGAGGCUGACUACACAGAGGCUCACUGCAUCAGUGCACAGUGUCUGAAUGCAUGGAGGCUGACUACACAGAGGCUCACUGCAUCAGUGCACAGUGUCUAACUGCAUGGAGGCUGACUACACAGAGGCUCACUGCAUCAGUGCACAGUGUCUGACUGCAUGGAGGCUGACUACACAGAGGCUCACUGCAUCAGUGCACAGUGUCUAACUGCAUGGAGGCUCACUACACAGAGGCUCACUGCAUCAGUGCACAGUGUCUGACUGCAUGGAGGCUGACUACACAGAGGCUCACUGCAUCAGUGCACAGUGUCUAACUGCAUGGAGGCUCACUACACAGAGGCUCACUGCAUCAGUGCACAGUGUCUGACUGCAUGGAGGCUGACUACACAGAGGCUCACUGCAUCAGUGCACAGUGUCUAACUGCAUGGAGGCUGACUACACAGAGGCUCACUGCAUCAGUGCACAGUGUCUAACUGCAUGGAGGCUCACUACACAGAGGCUCACUGCAUCAGUGCACAGUGUCUGACUGCAUGGAGGCUGACUACACAGAGGCUCACUGCAUCAGUGCACAGUGUCUGAAUGCAGAGGCAAGUCUGCUUUGUGGCUGUAUAAUUUGCCUCCGGUUGCCUUUCCUAGUCCACCGGGGCCUCCAUGAAGCUGUGUUUGACCUUUCCACUUCCCAUCCAUUCUUUCUCACAUUAGCUUUCAGGGCAUGGGUAGUCUCUCUCAUGUUGCAGUUCUGAUGUAGAAUGCUUGUGAUGAUUGUGUGAAUGCUUCAGGUUUAUACACAUGUGCUAAUUCCACAGGAGACACUGAGUAACAUUCAUAGCUAUUCACCACAAUUAUAGCAAAUGCUGAGAAAUUUUAUAAUUUUGAUUUAAUUACACAAUUUUGGAUUGGUAGUAUAUUCCAUGGUUCAAAUGUUUAAGACCUAAAAGGAUGUAUAGGAAACAAGUUAAUCACUUGUGUUCCAGGCCAGCCGGUGUUAUCCCCGUGGAAACCAGAUUUUUUUCAUUGAAGACAUUACAUCGUAUGUUUGUAUGUGUGUAUGUGUUUGUUUGCUUAAUGUGCAUAUAUGUGGGCAUGUGCAUGCCAUCGGACCUGUGGAUGUCAGAGGAAACUUGCAGCAGCUGAUUCUCACCUUCCACUAUGAAGGUUUUGAGGACCAAGCUUUUGUUGUCAAACUUGGUGGCAAGCCCCUUUACUCACUAAGCCAUAUCACCAGCCCCAUGGAAGGCAUUUUACAAGUAAGAGUGCAAUAGAAUAAUAUAGCUCCUGACAGCAGUGUGUUGCAGGUGUCACAUACACUGGCUGGGAAGAGCUGGGCAGUAUUAAUUUGAUAGACUGGUUAUGGAAAUCUGUGAGAUAUGGAAAUAAGUAAGUGUGCCAAAGCACAGCUUUUAAAAUAUGUGUUUUUUAAAAAGCCUUAGCUUUUGAUAUCCCUCACGUGUUUGCAUCCAUGCACAGAUAGAUGCCAGAAAGAUGACUGUGAAAUGGGGAGAAGAGGCUGGGGAAAAGGUUUGAGUCCUGUGGAGGGUCACAGAAGACAUGUGCCUUGAAGGUGGACUGGUGACUAGUGGAAGGGGAAAAAGUACAGUAGGAGAAGGAUGGGAUGGGAUGGGGGAGGCUGGAUAAAGAGCAACAGAGACCGAACAUGCAUGGAACUCCCAUCUCGAAACCUGCGUGCUAACUAAAAACUAAUAUGAUAACCACUUCCACGAUCUUUGCACACAUAACUGAGGCCACGUAUCUGAGCUAUUACAGUCUGCAGUACAGUGCCGAUUGCCACCCUGGCACCUGGAGGAAAACGCCACAUGGCCUCCUAAGCCUUUUCUUAAACUUGCUUGCAUGAAAUUUUAGAUGAUUGGCAACAAAUUUCUGCCAAAUAUUAAAAUCAUCGCUUCUAAGUAUUAUAUACUAUUGUACAUUAAAGUUGAAAAUUGUGUUCCAUAUAUCAUGUUGUCACACAGUUGGAUGCUCAAUAAUCACUUGGUAGAUGAAGAGUCAAGUGGAAGAUAGAAAGUAUGAACAUGAUCAUAACUGGGAAUCAUAAAACCCGUUGCUGCUCCCAUUCUCGCAGACCAUAGAACCAUGGAAACGUUCAGACAUCUCUGAGGAUGCGCAAUGCCCAGCCAAUCCUGAACUGUCGUUAGCUCAAGCGUGGGAGAUCCCAUCCACUAACCAUAGCCACUGCAUCAAAACUGCUGUAAGAAAAGUCCUCCAAGAAUAACAAACUCUGUUUUAAGCUAUUCCUCAGCUGAAAACCUAACCAUACAACUUUGUUGGUUUGGACAUAAGAGACUGAUGGUCUUGCCCUGGGUCCUGGGACACCCAAAGGUGGCUAAGGGUAAGAUAGAGAUUGGAAGGGAAAACUAUCAAGAGCAUCUCAGAACUGGAAGCAUGCUUAACUCCGCCAUGGUGUGCAAUCAACAUCAGACAACAGUCUAAUUGUGAAACUACAAGGUCCUCACGGCAGUGCACAGUGCUCUAGUGAGCUAGGAGGAAGGACUCAUUUGCCCACCCAUCUUGACAUACUGGCUCCAGAUACUCUUGUUCAAAUAGAGGCUGCUAUUAAUUAAAGCACAGGUUUACAUGAGCAUCGUGUAAGGAGACUACUGGCUCAGGUUUUCCUGAGUCAGCAUAACCGUCACCACUUCCUGUAAACAACUGCUGGGUCUGUGCGCCUGUCUGAAAGAACAAAGACACGGGGACAGCCAGUGCAGUCCUCUCUGCAUUUCACAUUUCUGAGGUCUGUGUUUCAAGGAGAAAGAAGAGGAAAUGGGCCAAGAAUUUUAAGACACCACCAACAAUUUCUUCAGUACUGGCGAAGAAGAAUAUACACAACAUUAAAGGCUUGCUGAAACAGCAAAAAUAGAUUUGUCAGUAAAAACAAACACGAACUUCCUCAGCAAUUUCCAAAGGCCACCCUUUCCUUUUCGUGUUAUCCAGCUCUGUGGCUUCCCUCAGAUCAACACAGUCCCCUUUACAGACAGGUGCAAUUACCUGGCCCACCCUCUCUAUACUUUAUGAGAUUUCCCUCAUUUUCCGAGAGUGUUGGGAUUUACAUAAAUUGGUCCUCACGAAGUCGCUAUUAGAAUUUUCCUGAUACCCCAGUGUUAUUUAUGAUUCUAGCUUUGAAUGCUCUACAAAUAGCACACCCAGAGAUAAUGUGUGGCAGCAGCUUUGCAGACGGAUUUAAAAAUGUCUUGUGGUUUGCCGCCAUCUUCCGAAUUAAUCAACCUAAGGUGGAAAAGUGAUUUUUUUCCUACUCUGUUCAUAUUAAUUAUUCUACUUUCUGGGAAAUUACAAAUGCAUUCAUACAUGAGUUUGAUGAAAUGUACUUGAGAGUGCUUGUCAUCGAGUAAGCCAUUUUUCUUUCGUGACGUGGCUGCGAUGCAUCUUCUAACAUUAGUUUGCACACACGCAUGUUGCUGAGAGACAUGGGAGGUUCUUCAGAGCAGGAGUAAACGUAGAACUCUGGAAACAAAUAGCAGUUGCCAUACUUUCUGUCAGCCCCAGGCUUGCUCUUAGGUGGACCGAUGGAACAGAAUUCAAGUUUUAGUGUGUAAAGGUAAGCUCAUGGGACACAGGUCUCCCCCCCUGUGCCAAAGACGAGAAAGGGCCGCAUGGUUAUUGCUAUCCUGAGGAUUCACUUCUCAGUCCUGCAUGUUGGACCCUGCAUCAUACUUCCCCUUCCCAGAGAAGGCUGGUUCCAGGUCCCCUUCCUGUUUUGAGCAAGCCCAAUCGUGAGGCUCCAAAUACAUCAGAUGGUGAAGAGUUCCCCUUCCCUGCAGAUCACGGAGGACCCGUGCUAUGGCUGUUGGCUAGAGUUGGCUGCGGAACAAGGUAUCCAGUCAGUCUGCUACUCGAUCUGAGGGUACUUAACUUUAGUUCAUCUGCUUCGCCAAGGACAUAAAGGAGACUUUAUGGUUUCCUCUAUUUUUUCAAAAAUGUUGCAACAAGUAAAUUUAGAGGUCUGUCUAAUCCUCUACCCCUUGAAAUUAUAAGCAUGCUGUGGAUCAGGGCCAUGUUUCAUACCAAGCUUCUCCUAAUGGAGAGAUCUGAGGUCAUUGAUGCAGAAUUCCGCAUGUGAGAGAGAAGGAGAGGGAAUUGUAAGUCUAGCACGUGUGUCAAUGUCUUCAAUGUGUUACCUCUCCUCAUAGAUGAUGUCUUGUGAUUAAAAGUGGGAUUGUUAAUAUUUGGAAAUUGCCUGGAAACCUCCUGUCUUCCUUACGAAUAUCUGAUAUUCCAUACACUAGUCAUUCAUGUUAGUUUACCUUAAGUAAUUUUUCACACUGUGAGGUCAGGUAUCCUAUUAAAUCUACCAUUAUUGCUUUGCCAUUCCUUCAGUCUCUGCUCCAUCUUUGUCCCUAUAUUUCUUUUAGACAAGACAAAUUUUGGGGUGAAAGUUUUGUGGAUGUGCUGCUGUCCUUAUCCCUCCCCGGGAGGUCCUGCCUAUCUACAAGUGGCCUCUUCGGAUUCCAUGUCCCCACUGUUAGGCAUCUUGGCUAAGGUCACCUGCAUUCACUCCUGGGAGCCUUCUCCAUCCUGGGUCUCUGGGACUUCCUAGAGAUCCCUACUCCAGUGGCUGCAGAUGGCCAGGCACUCUCCUGGCCCUCUGAGCCUCUCUCCUGUUUCUCCCCAGAUCUGAUCCUAUUUCCCAUUUCUCAGCUUCCCUCUCCCACACAGUCCCUUCCUCUGUCUCCUAUAAAGCAAUCAUUUUAACCUCCAAAUGAGGGUGAUGUUAUGCUAAUGACGCAGAGGAAGGAGAAUGCAGUUCCUCUCCAAAUUAGAAGAGAAUGUCAUUAGGAAACUCAAGAAAAAUUGGAAAUCAUUAAAAUUGUGUAGGAAAUUUGUGGUGUAAUAUAUAUAAAAUAUAGGAGGUUUGUCUUGGUUUGUAGCAGUUGUUUGAAAUAAGAAUCGACCGAGGAAUCUUGUAAUCACCUUCUGUAACUGGCUCAACAGGAAAGAGUUAUCCCAAGUCUGUGUUCGACUUUGCAAUUAGUACGAUGUGUAGCAUCCAUGAAAAUACUGGCAUUUAGUGUUCCUGGAUCUGUUAAUUGGAGUUUUGAAUGCGGGAGGCAGCACUUACAUAUGUAACCUUUACUUUAAUCAGCAAAGCCAUGGACAGAUAACAGCCCAUUGUAAUGUUCUGUAGUCUUAUUUGGUAGCAAGUUGAUGCUUUGGACUUUGAUAGCAAUAUAAACAGAAGAGGCAGGCAGUCCCAGGGCCAUUUUCCCAACAACCCAAUCUUUUCUCACAGACAAGUACUGACACGUUAGGUCUCCAUCAGCACCGAGGGCUGAUUCUGGGCCAUGCAUUUUGCUCUGGAAUCCUUUUGUUGACUUUGAAAGACUAUCACCUGACUGUGAUUAAUGUAACGUUAGAGGACUUGGUAUUCCAUGCUCUGCAUCUUCUUUUUUUUUUUUUUUUUUUUUUUUUUUUUUUUUUUUUUUAAGACAGGGUUUCUCUGUGUAUCCCUGGCUGUCCUGGAACUCACUCUGUAGACCAGGCUGGCCUUGAACUCAGAAAUCCGCUUGCCUCUGCCUCCCAAGUGCUGGGACUAAAGGCAUGCGCCACCACACCUGGCUUUUUUACCUUUUUUUUUUUUUUUUUGGCAUCUUCUUGUUCUUAAGAAUCUGCUGUUGCUGUCUGGAUUACCAUUUUGGUAUAAAACAGAAUCAGUUAUUAAUUUAUAUUAAAAACACGAACAGACCUUGUUUUGGAAUCAUGUUGCAUUUAUAGAUUAAAAUGCGUUAACUUUAAAAAUUUAUUUAUUUUAUGUAUGUGAGUACACUGUUGCUUUCUUCAGACACACCAGAAGAGGGCACCAGAUCCUGUUGUAGAUGGUUGUGAGCCACCAUGUGGUUGCUGGGAAUUGAACUCACAACCUUUGGAAGACCAGUCAAGCCUCUUAACUGCUGAGCCAUCUCUCCUGCCCAUGUGUUAACUUUUAAUUUUAUUUUUACGACACCAAGCCUUCUUUUCUGGGUAAUGGCUUAUCCUUAAUUUUUACGUCUUAUUUUUUCUUAUAAGGGCACUUAAAGGACACACAGACUUUAUUAGAUACAUUUCUAGGAUCCUUUAUAAGUUGGCUGCCAGUGAAUUGGAAUCUUUAUUUUGUGUGAUUAUUUUUCUAAUUUGGAAAAGAGUUAUCAAUACUAUAAUACUAGAAAAUCAUAUGUUUUCUUUUAUGUUAAAGGUGACUUCACUCGCAGCAUUUAAGGAAACACAGUUUUGGAGGUUUGGGCUUCAGUGUAGAGUAUACCAGCAUUCGGAAUGCACUGCCAAAAUGUAUUCUGUCUUCUGCAAUCUGUGGGGCGCACACUGGCAUUUCAAGAACCUUCUCCUAGAUGAAUGGUAAAGAGUCAUUACAAUGUAGUUAAAUUCUGACAUGAAGACGAAACUGACACUCACUCACAUUUAUGGAGAUCUUUCUCCCACUUACUAAUCAAGGAAAGAGAACAUAGAUCAUUUAGAACAUUGUUUCUCAACUCGUGGGUAGUGAGCCCUUUGUUGGUUGAACUAUCCUUUCACAGGGUUCACAUAUCAGAAGUCCUGCAUAUCAGAUAUUCACAUUACAAUUCAUCACAAUAGCAACGUUACAGUUAUGAAGUAGCAAUGAAAUAAUCUUAUGGUUGGGGGUUACCACAACAUGCGGAACUGUAUGUACUAAAGGGUCACAGCACGAGGAAGGCUGAGAGCCACUGAUUAGAACAUGUUUUAUCUUUCCCUGGAGUUUAGUGUGUUCCCUUUUAAACAGCCAGGUGAAAUGUUAUUUUGCCUUCUCUAUUGACAAUGAAGUUAAUGUUGUCUGCAUUGCUUGAGAAAUCUUAUGCUCCUUGAUGUUGUGGGCACUUGAAUUCCAUUGAUUUUUUUUUUUUAAAGAAAAAGUCUUAUAUUUUCUCUCAUGGUUGAAGUCUUGUAUUGAUUUGUUUCAUCACAGCUCAAGCUGAGGCAAAGCCAUUCAUAGUUUUGCUGCUUAUUAUUAUUAUUAUUUUUUGCCAUUGACUUUUAUCCAUUGAUCAGGUUGGAAGACAAAUCAUAUGACACCAUAUUUUCUUAAUUCUUUACUCUGUGCUUGUUUAAAACUGUAGGCAGGAGUGGUACAUUCCUGGAUCACAGGACACAUAAAUUGCUGAAUGCUCAUUCUAUCCAGCUAGGAACAUGCUCUGUUCACCACAAGGACAGAAGUGUGAACUGUGUUUUGUCUAAACUAUAUGGAAACAGUUUCUUUUGCAGUUGUUUUAAGCUUAAGUGACUUAAGCUUACAUUUACACACUGUGACUUUAGCAAUGCAUUUACAUUGUGUACAGUUUUAUGAAAGUAGUGUUACAUUUAAAAUAUGUUUUCUAAUAUGGCAUCUUGAGAAUGACUAUAAUUUGUAAAAUUUACAGCUCCCCAGGUACUUGUGAAUUUGAUGUUUUGUAUAUAACUUUUGAAUAUAUUAAGUUUUAUAACUUGUUACUCUAUCAGACAUGAACAUUCUAAACAUGCUUUCCAACUGUUAGCGUUCUUACUGUUAGUCAUGUAUGUAUGUGUGUGUGUAUACUCACAUGCACAUGAACAUACAUGCAUACCUGCAGUGAUAAAUUCCUCAGGUUCAUGUUUUCUUAUAAUUAUAAAAACUUGAAAUGGUUGCAAACUUGCCCAGAACUUAUAAAGCAAGCUAAAUGACCUUCAUGUUGUACAAGAUUUCGAAUUGGUAACAUCUUACCUCAUUUGUUUCCACUACCCUCCAUCUCUUAUGUCAGUAAUGUCCUAGGCAUUUGCCAUAGACAUCCGGCAUACAACCUUGGUCAGCUGGGCAAUGUGGAGCUUGCAAGAUGACUAAGCAGGGAAACCCAUUUGCUGUGUGUGCUGCGGAGUCAACUUUAAUCCCCGGAUCCCAGAGAAAGGUGGAAGGAGAGAACUGAGUGCAUAUACUUUCCCUGUGCAUGGAAGGCACCAUAUACACUCAUACACACACACACACACACACACACACACACACACACACACACACACACACACACACACACUA